rnacentral:lncRNA from 1 species
AUCUGAACUUUACGGAUGUGGUUGUGCUCAGUGAUGUAAAAAGUAUCAAGAAAUUCUGUAAGAAUAGCGAUGGAUUGUACCGUUCUGGCUGUUUUAUCGUCGGUCGCGACUACAACAAAGGACUGGCAACGCAAAACGGAGAAUGUUGGAUAGCAAACAAGCGGUAUUGUAUGAGCGUGCUACGCGACCUUGGUUUUGCAAAAACGUCGAUGGAGGAACGCAUGAUGGAUGACUUCCGUCAACUUGAUGCCCGGAUAAGCGACCGAAAGGGCCAGGCUGUGCACAUUCGUCCACUCAUCCUAUCCUGCGUCGCCAACAACAUCAUGUCCUUCUUUUACCCUAACGGACU